AUUGAACGCUGGCGGCAGGCUUAACACAUGCAAGUCGAGCGGGGGAGGUUACUUCGGUAACUGACCUAGCGGCGGACGGGUGAGUAAUGCUUAGGAAUCUGCCUAUUAGUGGGGGACAACAUUCCGAAAGGAAUGCUAAUACCGCAUACGUCCUACGGGGGAAAGCAGGGGAUCUUCGGACCUUGCGCUAAUAGAUGAGCCUAAGUCGGAUUAGCUAGUUGGUGGGGUAAAGGCCUACCAAGGCGACGAUCUGUAGCGGGUCUGAGAGGAUGAUCCGCCACACUGGACUGAGACACGGCCCAGACUCCUACGGGAGGCAGCAGUGGGGAAUAUUGGACAAUGGGCGGAAGCCUGAUCCAGCCAUGCCGCGUGUGUGAAGAAGGCCUUUUGGUUGUAAAGCACUUUAAGCGAGGAGGAGGCUCCUUUAGUUAAUACCUAAAGUGAGUGGACGUUACUCGCAGAAUAAGCACCGGCUAACUCUGUGCCAGCCGCCGCCGUAA
rnacentral:rRNA from 1 species